rnacentral:lncRNA from 1 species
CGGAUGUUAUCCAUAGCAUAUAGUUGAAUGGGAUUGGUUGACAUAGAUAAAAAUGAUUGGACUUUAUUGAAUAGCUACAGCCUACAACAAGUUGCUUAUUGUUGGAGCUAUUACUAAAUGGCUGGAAGAGUCAAAAUCUAAAUUGGAGCUGUAUGCCUGUCCACAUUCAGGAGUUCAGUAUAAUCAUCUCUAUUAUUUUGAUGCAAUCCUGUCAAAGAAAGGGAUAAAUACUAUUCUAAAAUUGCUUAGGUUUUCAAUAAUUGAGCACAAUUUAUGAAACUUAUGUUUAAUAAAAGAUGUUCGCAUAACCUAAGCAAGUACCCACUUGAUGAGUACUAAAUAGAGAAGAAGAAAAAAAGGAAAAAGAAAAUUGUCAAAAUCACCUUCCCUCUCUUUUUCUUUUCCCUUGUCAUCUGUCUAAUUGUAUGUUUUCAAUUUUACUCCAUAAAGGCAGCAUCCAUUCGGCCAUGAAAUAACAAGUCUCAACUCGCCUAACCAUAGGCUACCACGUUAAUAUUCUGUAGAUUCUACCUAUAAACAGUUCAUGGUUAGAAAUGCAAGGUGAUAGUAGGAAUAUACAUAAUAUUAAUAUAGGUGAGAAAAUGAUUUUUUUAUUCAAGAUUGAACUCAUCAAAUUUAAAUCAUAAACCCUCCCAACAGCCAUAUUACUACAUUACACGCGGACUUUUAUUGGUUUGUAAAAAUAAACAAAAAAAACUAAUAUUCAAAAAGAGGUUAAAUUGAUCAAGUAAUCAACUCAAGGAUGGAAAAGCUUAUUUCCACAUUUGCAUUUCCAUGCAAGUAAAUAAUAGCCGUAGUCUUGUUUGGCUUGAUGAAUGGGAGCUAUUAGGGUAGGGGUGCAAGGUGUGCAAUUCAAGCAUUUUCCCUCGCACUUUGGUUGCUUUGAUCCUACCUUCACUGCAUCUGUCACGUUGAAUACAGGUGAAAAAUAGAAAGAAACUUUAGAAAAUUAAACCAUAUGUCUACAUGGAAAAAUAGUUUUCAUCCUUGAUUUUUAUUUAAGAGACGUUAAAAGGAAGGUAGCCCGGUGCAUAAGGCAUCCUGCGUUCACGCAAGGUCCGGAAAGGGCUGCACCACAAGGGAUGUGAUGUAGACAGCCUAACCUGACGCAAACAUUAGUGGCUGCUUCCACGGCUCGAACGCGUGAUAUAUAAAAGAGGGGUAAGUUAAUAGAAGGUGUCAUUUUGCUACACUAAUACUACGUACUGACCUGUAAUAGGUAGAAGAAAAAGAAGGGCAAAGAUGAUCAAGAAUCCACCAACAAUAAAUACAAGGCUCAGCUCAUGAUCAUAACUUGCACGCUUGCUGAAUGAAGACAUGAUCAUCUGUAUUUUGCAGACUAUUGAAUCUUUAAAUAAAGAAGAAGAAGAAGAAGAAACUGCCUCACCUUUUAUUAGCAGCCUCAUGCAUAUAAGGCUAUCAUUUUAAUACAUUGGGAUAGUAGUACAUGGCUGGUCUCGAUCUGAUGAC